UUUGGAACACAACAAUGUAGUCUAUAUGGCUAGCUAGGAAUCACAAUAAAUUUUUAAUGCUAAUAAGAUGAAUGGAGAUGAAAUCAUGGAUUUAAUAAGGCUUAGAUCUUGGAUUUGGUUUAAAGCAAAGGUUGAUGGGUUUACAUAUGAUAUUCUCUCUCUAGUUGGUACCUAAACUUAAGCUGAGAACUUAAAUGUGGGAGUUUUAGUUAUAAAAUGGCGGUUUGAACCGUCCUUGUUUAGUAAUCCAAAUCUUCCUUUUCUACGAUUCGCUCAUGCCAGUCACGAAUCUAAUCAUGGAUUUUGUUCUCGCAAUGGUGAAAACCUUUCAGUGACAAUCCAAUCAGAUAGCCUAGGUCCUUCAUUGUUUGAUAGCAUCACUUGCUACUAAAUGUCAUUGGUGGACUUUUCACACUUUACUUACUUGAAAUUGCAUUAGUACCAGAGUUCCUAACAAAUGCAAUUACUUUGAAGGAUGAUGUCACAUUGACACUACUAUAGUAUGGGAAAGGUUUAUGAACUGGGUGGUCCUCAGGUCUUUACUGUGGAUGAAUAGGCAGAGCAUAUGUAGAUAUUAUUCGAGAAUGGCCUUGAUAUGCAAAGGACAAGCUAGCAAUGAUGCUGCAAUCAAUUGCUUCUCAGAAAUUCCAGCAUUGCACAUGUUGGCAAAGGCCCUUGUGUACUUCCUUCCAUAGCUUGAUAAGCCUCCGCAAUGCCUCUCAUAAGUUUUCAUCUGCGUG